AGUGAACGCUGGCGGUAGGCCUAACACAUGCAAGUCGAACGGCAGCACAGGGGAGCUUGCUCCUUGGGUGGCGAGUGGCGGACGGGUGAGGAAUACAUCGGAAUCUACUCUGUCGUGAGGGAUAACGUAGGGAAACUUACGCUAAUACCGCAUACGACCUACGGGUGAAAGCAGGGGAUCUUCGGACCUUGCGCGAUUGAAUGAGCCGAUGUCGGAUUAGCUAGUUGGCGGGGGAAAGGCCCACCAAGGCGACGAUCCGUAGCUGGUCUGAGAGGAUGAUCAGCCACACUGGAACUGAGACACGGUCCAGACUCCUACAGGAGGCAGCAGUGGGGAAUAUUGGACAAUGGGCGCAAGCCUGAUCCAGCCAUACCGCGUGGGUGAAGAAGGCCUUCGGGUUGUAAAGCCCUUUUGUUGGGAAAGAAAUCCAUCUGGUUAAUACCCGGGUGGGAUGACGGUACCCAAAGAAUAAGCACCGGCUAACUUCGUGCCAGCCGCCGCCGUAA
rnacentral:rRNA from 1 species